CCCUUAGAUGUUCUGGGCCGCACGCGUGCUACACUGAACGGUUCAAUGGGUAAGGUAGUGCGAAAGCAUGACCUAAUCUCGAAAUCCGUUCGUGCUGGGGAUAGAAGCUUGCAAUUAUCCUUCUUGAACGAGGAAUACCUUGCAAGCGUGAGUCAUCAUCUCACGCUGAAUACGUCCCUGCCCUUUGUACACACCGCCCGUCGCUCCUACCGAUUGAGUGUUCCGGUGAGGCUUUGGGAGAAUGGCCUCAACAUGAGUUUAUCGUGUUUUGCCGUUUGAACUUAGUCAAACCUUAUCACUUAGAGGAAGGAGAAGUCGUAACA
rnacentral:rRNA from 1 species